AGAUUGAACGCUGGCGGCAUGCUUUACACAUGCAAGUCGAACGGUAACAGGCCGCAAGGUGCUGACGAGUGGCGAACGGGUGAGUAAUGUAUCGGAACGUGCCCAGUCGUGGGGGAUAACGCAGCGAAAGCUGCGCUAAUACCGCAUACGAUCUAUGGAUGAAAGCGGGGGACCGUAAGGCCUCGCGCGAUUGGAGCGGCCGAUAUCAGAUUAGGUAGUUGGUGGGGUAAAGGCUCACCAAGCCAACGAUCUGUAGCUGGUCUGAGAGACGACCAGCCACACUGGACUGAGACACGGCCCAGACUCCUA
rnacentral:rRNA from 1 species